rnacentral:rRNA from 1 species
GUAGGGAAUCUUGCGCAAUGGGCGAAAGCCUGACGCAGCCAUGCCGCGUGAAUGAUGAAGGUCUUAGGAUUGUAAAAUUCUUUCACCGGGGACGAUAAUGACGGUACCCGGAGAAGAAGCCCCGGCUAACUUCGUGCCAGCAGCCGCGGUAAUACGAAGGGGGCUAGCGUUGCUCGGAAUUACUGGGCGUAAAGGGAGCGUAGGCGGAUAGUUUAGUAAGAGGUGAAAGCCCAGGGCUCAACCUUGGAAUUGCCUUUGAUACUGGCUAUCUUGAGUAUGGAAGAGGUAUGUGGAACUCCGAGUGUAGAGGUGAAAUUCGUAGAUAUUCGGAAGAACACCAGUGGCGAAGGCGACAUACUGGUCCAUUACUGACGCUGAGGCUCGAAAGCGUGGGGAGCAAACAGGAUUAGAAACCCGUGUAGUCC